rnacentral:rRNA from 1 species
AUUGAACGCUGGCGGCAUGCUUUACACAUGCAAGUCGAACGGUAACAGGGAGCUUGCUCCGCUGACGAGUGGCGAACGGGUGAGUAAUGCGUUGGAACGUGCCGAGUAGUGGGGGAUAACGCAUCGAAAGGUGUGCUAAUACCGCAUACGUACUGAGGUAGAAAGUGGGGGACCUUCGGGCCUCACGCUAUUCGAUCGGCCGACGUCUGAUUAGCUAGUUGGUGAGGUAAAGGCUCACCAAGGCGACGAUCAGUAGCGGGUCUGAGAGGAUGAUCCGCCACACUGGGACUGAGACACGGCCCAGACUCCUACGGGAGGCAGCAGUGGGGAAUUUUGGACAAUGGGCGCAAGCCUGAUCCAGCCAUGCCGCGUGUCUGAAGAAGGCCUUCGGGUUGUAAGGGACUUUUGUCCGGGAGCAAAUGCCUGGUGUUAAUAGCAUCGGGAGCUGAGAGUACCGGAAGAAUAAGCACCGGCUAACUACGUGCCAGCCGCCGCAGUAACAC